rnacentral:lncRNA from 1 species
CUGGAGGGAAAAGAGUGAUUUAGAUUUUCUGUUUAAUGUAUUUAAACUCAUGUAAAACUAUUAAAGUAUAUAAAGGGGUGUUAGAAACGUAGAUUGCUGUAUUUUUGAGUGGAUGUUAUUAUGUCACUGAGCAGAAUAGAGUUAUAAACUAGUCUGCAAGAACAAACCCUAAGGUUUCAAAAGUCCUUUCAGCAAGUUAGGUGUGGGUUGGCCCCACCCAUGCCCACUGCUCUGCCCCUGUCCACAGCACCACCAGCCGUGCGCAGCCUGCAGGACCUGGCCCGGCUUGCUAUCCGAGGCAGCAUCAAGAGGGCUAUGCGCCAGGAAGCCACCAGAGGAGGUGGUCUGAAGAGCACACCUAUGUUUAAAAGAAGGCGAGUCCGUCGCCGCAGGAUGGAGACCAUUGUCUUUUUGGACAAAGAGGUUUUUGCCAGUCGAAUUUCCAACCCCUCUGAUGACACCAGCUGUGAGGAUGCAGAGGAGGAUCGGAGGGAAGUGGCAGAGAGGACCUUGCGGGAGGCCAAGCCUGAGCCACCAGUGAACUUCCUUCGUCAGAGGGUAUUGCGCCUCCCGUUACCUGACCCCCUGAAGUACUACCUGCUGUAUUACAGGGAAAAGUGAGCUGUGGGAGAGUAGGACCAGGAUACCCAGAGGAAGCUGCUGGCCAGGUACAUGUCUCUUCCCUUUCUUGGUUCCUGUCUAUCCUCUAAAACUUUUCAUGUAUUGGUGUGAUUUAUUUAAGCACAAUUUAACCAGAAACUGCAUAGAAUUAUUUUCCUUGGGGGCAGGGUAGGGUGUGCAUCUUUUGAGCUCUACUGUAACUGGAGCUCUUUUUGGGAACUGCAUGAUGUCUGCUCCUUAUGUAGGCAAACUUUCACACUGGGACUUGAAUUAAAUUGGAUUUGGAUCCUGUGUGAAGCAAGGGGCAAGCCUGUCAAGGUGGCAUACCCCCACUCAGCUUGAAUUUUAUGUGCCGGUUCUGUUGCUGGCAUUGAGUUCUUCUGAGUUUUGCCUUUUUCUAGGUUGGGAAAUGUUGAAAAUCCCCCCUUAUUUUAAUAAAACUAAUCAAAUAUUAUGUGAAAUAUCAACCAUAAUGAGAUACAGAAGGGAGGGAUAAUGUAUAGAACUGCCAGAUGUCUUUCUGGAAUUUCCAAAGACUUCUAAGCAGUUGGUCCUCCCCCCAAUUCCUUCUGAUACUUUAUAGGAACCACCAUCAAGUAAUCUCUUUUUCUGAGAGAAAAAGUUUUUCCUGAACCAUAGCAGUGAUUCAUGAAUCACAACUGCAAAGACCAGAGCAGUUCUAAGGUAUCUACAUGAGAAUUUUCAGAGCAGGUAGAGAGACUGCAGUGCUAUAGAAAGCCCAUGCUUCUUGACUUUGGUUUGCAGUCUUUCUUUGAUCAUAUUAGAGUACCAGGUCAUAGAUUUUUAUCUUUUAUAAUUCUGGAGAAAAAAUUGUUAGUUUUGUAAAUUUUCUUAAGAACAGAUACAUGUAUUUUACUAGUUCCAUUGCAUUAGAGCAGUUUAACUUAGUGAUGUGAAAUCUAUUAUCUCCAGGCCAUGGGUGUUGAGAACUAUCAAGUUUUUAAAAAAAAAAAAAAAAGCAACCUUUCUGGCUUUCAGAGGGCAGGACUUGAAGUUACAUUGCUGAUUCCAAAAGCUGGCUCUUAAAAAAAAUUUUUUUUUCUAGCCCAAAGGAAAAAAAAUAGUGUAAAUUGUUAAUAAUAAGCCCAAAUUAGAGUAUUAAUUUAGGAUUCAGUACUGAGAUUUUAUGAUUUAUUUUUAGCUUAGCCACAUGUGACUUGCAGAGAGAAAUUUGAUAGUUAUGUGAUUUCUCCAGCUUAAAUGGGUAUUUUGGUUUAUUUUUUUUUUCAAGUUAGUUGAAUCAUUUUUACCACACAGUAUAGUCUGCAUGUAUAGCUGGGAAAACAUAUAAUGCCCUACAUUAUAAAUAAAAUGUACACUUACAUUACUUUAAAUAUAAGCUAUUUAAAGAAAGUUCAAAGUUGUUUUUACUUGCCUUUUAACUCCAAUUUGGGCUUCUUUUCUUUCAGAGAGAAAUGCAUGCUCUAACUUGACUUGCAAAUGUUUGUAGUUUGCAGAUCUUUCCUGAUGUUAACUCUAAUUGUUAGCUAGACUUUUAUGUUACCUGGAAAAUUUUGGACAUAAAAUUAAAUAAAUGAUACCUGUGAAGUUUGUAUAUUAGGAGGAUUGAUUGAAUUUUUUUCCCUGUGACUGAAUAUGGGCUACAUUUUGAAAAGCCACAUUUGCCUUUAUGCUGGAUUUUUAAAAAAUUACAAUACAUAAGACACUUUCUCUUUAUAUGUUAAACUUUUCUUAGUAUUUUGUAUUUAUAUUUUAUCACUUUGUGAUUUUAAACCAUAAUUCAGUUAAAUAUAGUUGUAACAAGUGAGAAGUAGAUUGGCCUUUAUAUUAUACUACCAGGGAAAAUUGAAAUUUUCUCAUAAACACUUUGCUGCCAGAAUUCAGUAUAUACCGACGGUAUAUACAAAAUAUCCUACAUUCUGUUUUCAGACUAAUAAAUCUUAAUAUAGUCAAGUGUUUGUCUUCAGGAUCUGUACUGUAAACAAAAUAUUGACAAUGACUAUGUUUUAAGGAGUGGGUAUUUUUAAACAUGUGACUUCUGUUGUAAUGUAAGAAUCAAAGGUGUACAUAAAAAUAGAUUUGUCAACGUGGAACUUAAAGUUGAAAAUCCAAGAAAUUAGAAACACUGAUUUUUUUUUUUUAAAUGAGGGGAAACAUGGGUAAACACAAAUGAAUCAAUAAAAAAGUGUUAAGACAUUU